CGGUGGCGCAGUGGUUAGCGCUCUUGCCUUUCAGCAAGAAGACCCCGGUUCAAGUCCUGGCUG
rfam:Oryzias latipes DNA, scaffold690, strain: Hd-rR.